AGAAUCAACGCUGGCGGCGCGCUUAACACAUGCAAGUCGCACGAGAAAGCCGCAAGGUGAGUAAAGUGGCGCACGGGUGAGUAACACGUGGGUAAUCUGCCUUUUAGUGGGGAAUAACUCUGGGAAACCGGAGCUAAUACCGCAUAAUCCCGGAAGGGGAAAGCAGCAAUGUGCUGAAAGAGGAGCCCGCGGCCGAUUAGCUAGCUGGCAGGGUAAUGGCCUACCAGGGCUUUGAUCGGUAGCCGGCCUGAGAGGGCACACGGCCACACUGGCACUGAAACACGGGCCAGACUCCUACGGGAGGCAGCAGUGGGGAAUCUUGCACAAUGGGGGAAACCCUGAUGCAGCGACGCCGCGUGAGCGAUGAAGCCCUUCGGGGUGUAAAGCUCUUUCGACGGGAACGAUAAUGACGGUACCCGGAGAAGAAGCUGCGGCUAACUACGUGCCAGCAGCCGCGGUAAUACGUAGGCAGCGAGCGUUGUUCGGAGUUACUGGGCGUAAAGAGUGCGUAGGCGGUGCUCCAAGUCUGGUGUGAAAUCUCCCGGCUUAACUGGGAGGGUGCGCCGGAGACUGGAGUGCUUGAGUGUGGGAGAGGAAAGCGGAAUUCCUGGUGUAGCGGUGAAAUGCGUAGAUAUCAGGAGGAACACCGGUGGUGUAGACGGCUUUCUGGACCACUACUGACGCUGAGGCACGAAAGCGUGGGGAGCAAACAGGAUUAGAUACCCUGGUAGUCCACGCCCUAAACGAUGCGUACUUGGUGUGAGCCGUUCAUUCGGUUCGUGCCGGAGCUAACGCGUUAAGUACGCCGCCUGGGGAGUACGGUCGCAAGGCUG
rnacentral:rRNA from 1 species